CUAGACCACUGAGGGCCGUGACGGGGUGCCCCUGAGCUUGGACCCCAACCAGAAGGUAGAGAUUGAAACGAUGAGGAAAACGAAGUGCCUAAUCCCCGUUGGACGCUAACUACAGGGCAAGCUCCCCAGUGUUUUAGUUGUGUUUCGGAGGCCGAGAACCGCUAUCGGGCUUCCUCGGACUCUGGCCCUGGAGGGGGGAACGGCGAGGGAGAAGGCGAAACGAGUCUCCAGUGUGUUCUUGGGGCCUGGUGCGAGGCCCAGAGAAUUCUCUGCAGGCCUUUGCCCGGGUACUGAUUAAGGCUGCGAAGAGACGCACCGGGCUGCGGGCUUAGCUUCAGGCUUCUGAAGUCAGAGGGAGGGCUGAGAGCUUACACUUUUGGAGCUCCCCGGGAGACGGCAACUACCCAACCGUGUGUGAACAUGGAGGAGACAUAUUUCCGCCUAUUUCUCUCCAUAAGUAUAAAAGACCAUAAAAGACCAUCUAGGGACUUCAGAACCCAAAUAAUGACACAAUGUUAAUUUGCAGAUUCUCCCUCUGCCUGCCACC
rnacentral:antisense_RNA from 1 species